UCCGAGCUCCUCGGAGGGCCCGCGCCCCCGGCGGGAGAGGGGCUGCGCUCGCUGCCGCUGCUCCACACCCCGAGGAGUCCCCAGUACCCCCAGCGCUCGCUCGCUCGCUCGCUCGCUCGCUCGGAGAGCCGGGGAGCAGGAGAGAGGGACCCCCACUUAGACCCUGAGUAGGGAGGGAGUAGAGGGGGUCGACAGAUUGGGCUGAGUGAUCGUAACCCGGUCCCUGGAGGCAGCUUUCUGGGAGUCCAGCCCCUUCCCCCCCGGAGGAUGCAAAUUCCGUAGGGAGUUUGAAUCCACCAACUUUGCUUCCUGGGAUUUUGGCAUUCUAGUUGUCAGCUCAUCCUAAGCCCUCCUGAGCCUGAGUUUGUUCAUCUGAGAACAUAACAUUGGGUGAAGACUCCUGAAGACCCUCCGGGCCAACGUCCACCGCGUUGUCUGACUCCCUUGAGUGAAUUCAGAGAUUUCCUGUCCUGCAUCUGUUUCUCCUCUGCCAGUGCAAGCCUCCCCACACUACACUAGUCUUAAGCCUGCCCUCUCCGUAUUUGUUGUACUAAAAGACCCCAGGUGUUCUGAAUAUCAGUUACUAAUACCCCUACACUCAUGAAUGCAACAUCGAGCCCCAUCCGCCAUGCUCACCACUUUUUUGACAUUAUUCUUAGAAAUUUCCCCGCAUAUUUUCCUGAUAACACCGAAGAGAUUACCGUUUCCCAACUUAGAGAUUUCAUCCUUGAUCUCUUUCUUCAGGGUGAUCUCAUAGAUUUCACUUGGGAUGAAGUGACACAGUUUCUGGAACUUCCAUAAAGCAUGCCGUUAUGUCCCUCCUUACAAUAAAAGUGGAUCUCAA